GUAGGAUGGGUUGCCAGAUAUCCCCUUUUUACUUUCCUUCUCAAGUUUCUUUCCAUCUCCAUCAGAGAAUAAGCAAUAUUUCCUGCAAAUCAUGGUUUUCUAAAGCUCUAAUUUGCAUACUGAUCAUGGGUUUCUAAACAUAUUAGAAGUCUUUGCUACUCAUGAUUAUUCCUAGAUCAUCAAAUCGGUUGUGUUUGUGGGAAAUUGGAAGCUAAUCAACAUCUCUAUCUCUAACUUCCCCGUCAACGCUUCAUCACACAAUUGCCUCAUUUAUCGUUGAUCUAGGUCUAGCUGUCGUCUUCUCUACCUACCUUUCCUGAUUCUAACUUAACAACUCUAAUGGAAGAGUUGAUGGCAGCUGACAAGUACACCCAUUUGGCAGCUAUUCGAUUUGUUUCUUUAAAAUGCUUAAUGAAGAAGUGUGGAAGCAUUGAAACUUGAAGGACCUCUCUCUAGUGCUAUUAACCACCUCAUCUUCAUCUUGUGAUCAUCCCUAGCCUUGAGCUAGUAGUAACAGGAGUGGAUCUUGGACGCAGGUGUCGUAACUAGAAGUUUAGAUGUCAUCCACUUUUGUUGGUUUGCAACCUAGUCGAAGGUUGUGUUUUAAAAACUUGAAUAAACAAUGUUUGUAAUACUUAAAUUUCAUGAAUGGAUGAACAUCGUUUUGAAUCAUGUAGUUGUUUAUUACGAUU
rnacentral:lncRNA from 1 species